GAUGAACGCUGGCGGCGUGCCUAAUACAUGCAAGUCGAGCGAACGGACGAGAAGCUUGCUUUUCUGAUGUUAGCGGCGGACGGGUGAGUAACACGUGGAUAACCUACCUAUAAGACUGGGAUAACUUCGGGAAACCGGAGCUAAUACCGGAUAAUAUUUUGAACCGCAUGGUUCAAAAGUGAAAGACGGUCUUGCUGUCACUUAUAGAUGGAUCCGCGCUGCAUCAGCUAGUUGGUAAGGUAACGGCUUACCAAGGCAACGAUACAUAGCCGACCUGAGAGGGUGAUCGGCCACACUGGAACUGAGACACGGUCCAGACUCCUACGGGAGGCAGCAGUAGGGAAUCUUCCGCAAUGGGCGAAAGCCUGACGGAGCAACGCCGCGUGAGUGAUGAAGGUCUUCGGAUCGUAAAACUCUGUUAUUAGGGAAGAACAUAUGUGUAAGUAACUGUGCACAUCUUGACGGUACCUAAUCAGAAAGCCACGGCUAACUACGUG
rnacentral:rRNA from 1 species